rnacentral:rRNA from 1 species
GACGAACGCUGGCGGCGUGCUUAACACAUGCAAGUCGAACGGAAAGGCCCUGCUUUUGUGGGGUGCUCGAGCGGCGAACGGGUGAGUAACACGUGAGUAACCUGCCCGUGACUUUGGGAUAACUUCAGGAAACUGGGGCUAAUACCGGAUAGGAGCUCCUGCUGCAUGGUGGGGGUUGGAAAGUUUCGGCGGUUGGGGAUGGACUCGCGGCUUAUCAGCUUGUUGGUGGGGUAGUGGCUUACCAAGGCUUUGACGGGUAGCCGGCCUGAGAGGGUGACCGGCCACAUUGGGACUGAGAUACGGCCCAGACUCCUACGGGAGGCAGCAGUGGGGAAUAUUGCACAAUGGGCGGAAGCCUGAUGCAGCAACGCCGCGUGCGGGAUGACGGCCUUCGGGUUGUAAACCGCUUUCGCCUGUGACGAAGCGUGAGUGACGGUAAUGGGUAAAGAAGCACCGGCUAACUACGUG